rnacentral:rRNA from 1 species
UGGGGAAUAUUGGACAAUGGGCGAAAGCCUGAUCCAGCCAUGCCGCGUGUGUGAAGAAGGUCUUCGGAUUGUAAAGCACUUUAAGUUGGGAGGAAGGGCAGUAAGCGAAUACCUUGCUGUUUUGACGUUACCGACAGAAUAAGCACCGGCUAACUCUGUUCCAGCAGCCGCGGUAAUACAGAGGGUGCAAGCGUUAAUCGGAAUUACUGGGCGUAAAGCGCGCGUAGGUGGUUCGUUAAGUUGAAUGUGAAAGCCCCGGGCUCAACCUGGGAACUGCAUCCAAAACUGGCGAGCUAGAGUAGGGCAGAGGGUGGUGGAAUUUCCUGUGUAGCGGUGAAAUGCGUAGAUAUAGGAAGGAACACCAGUGGCGAAGGCGACCACCUGGGCUCAUACUGACACUGAGGUGCGAAAGCGUGGGGAGCAAACAGG